rnacentral:rRNA from 1 species
AGAGUUUGAUCCUGGCUCAGAACGAACGCUGGCGGCGUGCCUAACACAUGCAAGUCGAGCGCGAAUAGGGGCAACCCUUAGUAGAGCGGCGCACGGGUGCGUAACACGUGGGUAAUCUGCCUGGAAGCCUGGGAUAACUAGCCGAAAAGGUUAGCUAAUACCAGAUGAGACCACGGACUCUUCGGAGUCUGAGGGAAAAAGGUGGCCUCUGUAUACAAGCUAUCACUUCCAGAUGAGCCCGCGGCCCAUCAGCUAGUUGGCGGGGUAAUGGCCCACCAAGGCAACGACGGGUAGCUGGUCUGAGAGGACGAUCAGCCACACUGGAACUGAGACACGGUCCAGACUCCUACGGGAGGCAGCAGUGGGGAAUUUUGCGCAAUGGGCGAAAGCCUGACGCAGCAACGCCGCGUGUGUGAUGAAGGUCUUCGGAUUGUAAAGCACUUUCGACCGGGACGAAACCCUUCAGCCCAAUACGCUGAAGCUUGACGGUACCGGGAGAAGAAGCACCGGCUAACUCUGUGCCAGCAGCCGCGGUAAUACAGAGGGUGCAAGCGUUGUUCGGAAUUAUUGGGCGUAAAGCGCGUGUAGGCGGCUUUGCAAGUCGGGUGUGAAAGCCCUCGGCUCAACCCGAGGAAGUGCGCCCGAAACUGCAGAGCUUGAGUGCCGGAGAGGAUGGCGGAAUUCCCCAAGUAGAGGUGAAAUUCGUAGAUAUGGGGAGGAACACCGGUGGCGAAGGCGGCCAUCUGGACGGUCACUGACGCUGAGACGCGAAAGCGUGGGGAGCAAACAGGAUUAGAUACCCNNGUAGUCC